AGUUUGAUUCUGGCUCAGAAUGAACGCUGGCGGCAUGGAUUAGGCAUGCAAGUCGAACGUACUCCCUUCGGGGAGAAAGUGGCGAAAGGGUGAGUAACACGUGAGCAACCUGCCUCCGGAUCCGGAAUAAUCCAGGGAAACUUGGUCUAAAACCGGAUGAAGACAUUGGUCCGCAUGGUCUAAUGUUAAAAUAUUUAUAGUCCGGAGAGGGGGCUCGCGGCCCAUUAGCUUGUUGGCGGGGUAAUGGCCCACCCAAGGCUACGACGGGUAGGUGGUCUGAGAGGAUGGUCACCCACACUGGGACUGAGGCACUGCCCAGACUCCUACGGGAGGCUGCAGUCGAGAAUCUUCCGCAAUGGGCGCAAAGCCUGACGGAGCGAUGCCGCGUGAGGGAUGAAGGCCUUCGGGUUGUAAACCUCUGUCAUCCGGGACGAAAACAAUGACGGUACCGGAAAAGGAAGCCACGGCUAACCACGUGCCAGCCGCUGC
rnacentral:rRNA from 1 species